AUCAGUUGAACUAUGGUUUGUUUACCUUCGCGCAUCGUGUUAGCAACUCACAAAAGUAAAAACAUAGAUUUGCUCGUCUGCUUCAAAAAGGUUUUGUUAAAUAAAUUAAAACGGCCUAGGUUCUUGAUAAAUUGAACAAUAUGACGGACGUAUUCGAGGAUGAAGAAUAUUUGGAUUUGGUGUAAGAUGAGGACCAAACGGAUCCGUUCCAAACCGACGAAAGCACAGUCGAAAGUGAAACUAGUUGUGAUGCCGGGGAAGGAUCUUCCAAACAGAGCUCCGACUAGGGUGCCGGUACCAAUGGUUGUAAUGUACCAGUAGAUUGGACUAUGGAAUAAAACGUACAUUUUUUGAUAAAAA